rnacentral:RNase_P_RNA from 1 species
UGAGUCGGCCGGGCGGCCGCGCGUCUAAUGCUCAGCACUAGACUCGAGGAACGUCCGGGCUCCACAGGGAACGGCGGUGGGUAACGCCCACUCGGGGUGACCCGCAGGAAAGUGCCACAGAAAGUAAACCGCCCAUUUUGGGUAAGGGUGAAAGGGUGAGGUAAGAGCUCACCGCGUGCCAGGUGACUGGGACGGCAUGGUAAACCCCGCCGGGAGCAAAACCAAGCAGUGCGCUAUGAGGCGUCCCGUUUCGCGCACGGGUAGGUUGCUGGAGCGUGCAGGUAACUGUACGCCUAGAUGGAUGGUCGCCACCGCUUUUUGCGGUACAGAACCCGGCGUAUAGGCCGACUCAUUCG